rnacentral:tRNA from 1 species
AUUUAUCUAAUAUAAAUUAGUAUAAUUGACUUCCAAUCAAUAAGUUUGUAUAUAGCAAGAUAAAUA